rnacentral:rRNA from 1 species
UACGGAGGGGGCUAGCGUUGUUCGGAAUUACUGGGCGUAAAGCGCGCGUAGGCGGCUUUGUAAGUUAGAGGUGAAAGCCCGGAGCCUCAACUCCGGAAUUGACCUUUAAGACUGCAUCGCUAGAAUCAUGGAGAGGUGAGUGGAAUUCCGAGUGUAGAGGUGAAAUUCGUAGAUAUUCGGAAGAACACCAGUGGCGGAAGGCGACUCACUGGACAUGUAUUGACGCUGAGGUGCGAAAGCGUGGGGAGCAAACAGG